UUAGAAACCGGGUAAUAGGGAAAUACAAGAAGCCUUAGAUUCAGAGUCUCAAUCCCACCCAUCGGCCCCUUUUCAGCACAGUGAGAUCUCGUUUACAUAAGAAAUUCCUAAGUCACUCAACUCAGGGACACCAUUCGAAGCUUCCUUACGACGGCUCUUAGCGGUACUAUUACAAGCGACCUGUUUUCUUCUCCUUUUAGCAAAAAUUGGGGAUAUGCAUUCAAUCAUCAAUGCUGCUUCGAAAGUCUUGAAACUCCAAGGGGAUAUGAAGAAGACAACACUCAUUUUGGAAGAUAUACUCAUACUACAACCAAUUGACCAUGAAAUUGAAGCAAAUUUAGAACACCCGUUACAGCACGAAUUAAUAGAAAUAAUACAGGGUUAUUCACUACAGGACAAAAGAAGCAUUAAUAGUAAAAAAGGUAUUACUGAAGAUGAAAUCUGUGAACUAAGUAACCAUGUCUGCCUUGCACUCUCAAGAAAGUUUGAAUUAAGGAAUGAUAGUAAAAACUUCAACAUAGCUCAACCCAAACGAUGGAUGCAAUUGCUAGAAACAUUAACUGACACAACCGGCUUUGCCGUGGUUAUUCAAAUCAUUAUUAUUUUAUCCAACACUUCUCUAAUAAAUAAACAAAACUUGGGAAGCCUGAAACAACUAAGGAGCCAAAUUUUUGAAAUAUUGUUAAAAAAAAAAAAUACAUGGAAAUGUAAACUACUACAGAGGACUCUUUUAGAACUAUAUAUUGUAGGGCUUUCCGUGGAUUGCACACCUUUGGAAUUACAAAACCUGUACCGUCAUAAGAAUUUGAGAUUCUGUAAUGAUAUUUUGGACUCAUUAACAUUACAAGUAUCUGACCCUCGUUCGCAAAAUUACUUACAGUUUGAGAAUGCAUACAAACUUUUUCAAAUACAGAAAUCACCUAAAAUCAAUCAUUCUUUUCUCUUUUACGUCGAAUUAAAUACCGUUACAUCAAAUAGGUUAAUGACCAUAGAAAAUCAGAUGUAUCUGGAGAUUAAGGAAGGCCAAUUUUGUGUUUCAAAUGAUAAUUACAUGAUCGGCUUAUUUGAAAACUUUGAAUUUGAAGUAGGAAACUUGUACUUUAUUGCGGUUAUAAUUGAUCAAAAUAACCGAAUAUCUUUAUAUGUUGAUGGGAAUUUAAUCAACCAGAUCACGUUAUUUGAAAAUUCAAUAUUUCAAUUAAGUACCUGUGAACUAGGAUCCAUGAUUUCCUCUUUCAAGCUUUACAGAUUUUAUUUGUGGGAUGGGCUACUAACAGAAUCGACUAUUAGACUACUUCAGCAUAUCGGAAGUAAUUAUCAGUAUACAUUUGAUAAAAAGAACAAAUUUUGUGGUAUAUUGUCGAGUUGCCAAGAUGUGUUGAUAACAAAAACUCGUUUGAUGAUCAAGUCACCCACAGAAACUACAUGCACAAAAUUCCUUGACGAAAUUAAGCUUCUUGAAAUGGAGAAUAUUAUAAUUGAUAUGAACCCGAAUAAUAUGUGUCAAGAUUAUGCCAAAUCCUCUAAUUUCACAAUAACAUUCAAAGAAAACAAGGGGAACUCGAACGAUAUCCCCGGCAUGGGAAAAUGCUAUUUAUAUCAAAGCUCGAACUUGGUUGCUAAGUUUAUCUCUAUCGAUUGCAUACGUUUUGCGUUUUUGAACAUCACAGAAUGCAAUAGUAUGGACGACUUACUUCGUCACGUAUCACAUUUACUGAAUCUUUUGCGUAAUACUGAAAUUCUUAAUUGCUUCAAAAGAGACUGUGGCUUUCCUUUAUUUGCUUAUACUCUGAGGCAAAAAAUAACACAAGAUCUAUUGCAGCCUCUGAAUAUUCAGUUUUUCAAUUUAUUCAUAGAAUUUUGUGGUUGGGAUUUUAGAGAUAUCUCAAAAUCCAUAAUUUCGGAUACAGAAGCCUACGAAAACUUAGUACUGAAUUUAGAUUUAUGGUACGUGGACGAAGAUGAAAGUUCCCUUACAUCAGGAGGAUUAGAAAUUAUCAGGUUUCUUUUUUUUCAAAUUUCAAGUUUACUGGAAGCUUCUAUUUAUGCUAGGUUCAAUGCUGAAAAAUUUAAGACAAUGAAAACUCUGGAAAAGUUGUGUUUGACUUAUCAAGCUACUACAAAGAAAGGGAAGCCUACGAACAAGUUUGAUGUGCUGUCCAAUGAUGUAGUAUCUGUACUGCUUGCCUUGUUGAAAUACAAUUUCGAUAAAUGGCAUUUACAAUGGUUGUUACAUCUUUCGUAUUACUUCAUUAGAGCCAAGGAUAUACGUUCCGGAGAAAUUAUUCUUCAAACGGUAGACCAACUCUUUUCGUUCUUCUUAGACCAAGACAACGACGAGAAUGCUAAAUUACUUUCUAAAAUGAUACCGAUUAAACUGAUACUGAUGAUCAUGGAUCAAUUAAUGCAAAAUAAUGAAUCGAACCCCACCAUUUGCUUGAACAUUCUAUUCAAGACAACCCUGAUUAAUAAAUCUCUCUUCAAGCAAUUUUACAAAAAUGAUGGUCUGAAACUCAUAUUGACCAUCAUAUGUAAGGCGGAUGAAACUCGUCAGGAAGAUUUUAUCUCCUUACUUUUCACCUACUCAAUGGAUAACUAUAGCACAACUAACGAACUCGUCUCAGAUGCGGGAAGCGACAUUUUUAAAGAAAAUCACACCAAUGAGAUAAUCACGAAGGAAAUUAUUUACUUAGCCAUCAAUUUCAUAGAGUGGCAUGUGGUGAACUCAGAAGCCAAUGACUAUUCUUCGUUAUCAGAUCUGAACAACCACAUAUCAAGAUUUAUCGAAAAUUUGGAAUUCUUAAGCAAGGUUCCGAUUAACGCACCUGUAUUUGAUCCUAGAACUAGUUAUGUGGCCGUCUCAUUACUAGAUCUCUUAAUAACUUUAAACCAAUCAGGAAAUGUCUCAGAAUUCGAAACCUCUUCGAAAUUAAUUACAAGACUGAUUAAAAACAAUAUACUAUAUGCUCUUACAACAUACGCGACCUAUGAUUUUGAGGUUUAUAUUAACGCAUUUUUCUGUCACAAUGCAGAAUACAAGCUGGUUCAUCCCAAAACUGUGAUAAACAAUACCAGUUAUUUGGAGCUCGCAUUUAUAGUAAACAUUCUGCCGAAUAUCCUUGAUACCUUAGUAGGUAGUGACGGUAGAUUGAACUCAAUGAUACUAAAAUACCCAUAUAUGAUGUCAAAUCUCCUUUAUCUUCUUCGGAAAUUCCAACCUGAUACAUUGCAAAUUGUCAUGCCUGAACAGUUUUAUUUUUCAAGUUAUACAUGUCUUUUGAAUUGUAUUAGUCUGAUUGGUAAGUCAACUUGCCAUCGUUUUAAAAACGUUCUAAGGUCCCAACUAUUGCAGGACUUCAAAAUUUGCUUGAUAAGCCUACUCUAUUCCAGUACAUCCAAGCAAAUAAUUUGGGAAGACCAACAAUACGAGAUGCUUUGUAAAUCGCUAUUACAGCGGAAAGAAACUUUAUUUGAGAAUAUAUACUGGGCGUGCGAUAAUGAGACUAUCAGUUUAUUACUAAUAUUCUUAGCCAGUAGAUUGCAUGAAACUGGAUACGAAGAAGUGACCUUCAAUUGUUUUAGAGUGAUAGUCCAAGAAAAAAAAAAAAAACUAAAGGAAUUAGCAAAUUACUUUGACAUAGAGGACAAGCAUGACGUUAUUGUUGCCUUGACUCAUUUUAUAUCAAGCGAUAGUUGUGAUCUAGUGAACUUCUCAAUAGAAAAUUACCCUUUUUUUUUCAGCGAUGUACAAAAAAAGAGAUUUAAGAAUUCUGCUACCAGUUUUCUAUAUAGAAAUACCGAUUUUUCAGCAUUAAGCAUAAAACAGAUUAACAGCCAAGUUCAUGAAUGGAAACAUGCAAGAUUCGAAUACAUAACUAAAAACAAUCAAAAGUGUCUCGUUCUAUUUCGGAAAGACAAUACGCCUUUAGAGUUUAAAAUCAAAAAAUCUAUAUCGAGGUACAUUUCCAACUUCAAAACCGACAGAGAAGAGGACUCUGUAUUUUAUCAAAAUAAUUUAGACCUUUUAAUUUUUCAUCUGCGACAUACUCUGGAGAUACAGUCAGGCUCAAGGAUUUCUUGUAAAUGGUCACUGGAUUUUGUGGAAGAUUUUGAUGGAAUGAAAAGAAGGCUUUUACCUGCCUGGGAGCCAAAAAAUGAACCACUUUUCAAUGAGGAAGAUACGAAAAGUGAAACCAUUACGAGUAAUAACAGACAAAGGAGGGAAAGUGGAAGCAUUUUAUCCUAUGAAUUUAUCGAAGAUAUGGAAACUCUUGACUUGGAACCGUUAGGUGAUUUGAAUGAAAACAGAAAAAUUCUUAGACUUUUGAAAGAUAACGAUUCUAUUUCCACUAUUUGGAAUUGUAGUUUAAUUAUCGGGUUAGAAAUCAAAGAGGGCGUUUUAGUCCACGGUAAUAACUACCUUUACUUCGUAAGCGAUUACUAUUUUGGUUCAGAAGAUAAAAAAAUCCUGAAAUUAUCAGAAGUGUCCCAAGAGUUACGAGACAUAAACGUUAGUCUAAUCAACGGUACGGACCCUGAAAAAGUAUCAAACUCUCUCAAGCAUGAAGUUUUCGUUUGGAAACUUCUCGAUCUCACUUUUGUUACUAAGAGGCCCUUUCUACUUCGUGAUGUUGCAAUCGAGCUAUUAUUUGAAGAAAGAGUUAGUGCAUUUUUCAGUUUUAAUAAUAAAAAGGUGAGGGAUGAUGUUCUGCGGGUGUUGAAUAGGAUUCCCAAACACCUUCCAGCUGAUCCGGUUUUUUCGAGUGUUCUACAAGAGAUAAACAAUCGGGGUAAUACUAUAGUAGCAAAGAACGGUAUAGGUAAAGCAAGCAUUGCUUCUAAAUUUACCAGUGUUUUCUCAACCAACAACAGCCUAAUAGACGGAUUUGAACUUAGUAAAAAAUGGGUCAGGGGAGAAAUCUCCAACUUCUAUUAUUUGAUGUGUAUCAAUACUCUAGCGGGAAGAUCAUUUAACGAUUUAACUCAGUAUCCUGUGUUUCCUUGGGUCAUUGCAGAUUACGAAAGUGACGUGCUUGAUCUAGAAAACCCGAAAACUUACCGGGAUCUAUCAAAACCUAUGGGCGCCCAAAGUAUGAAAAGAAAGCUGCAGUUUAUGGAACGCUACGAAGCGUUGGCUUCUUUAAAUGAUGCUGGUUCUCCGCCAUUUCAUUAUGGCACACAUUAUUCAUCAGCUAUGAUAGUAUCUUCGUACUUGAUAAGGCUAAAACCUUUUGUUGGCUCCUUCCUAUUGUUACAAGGCGGGAACUUUGGCCUCGCAGACCGUUUGUUCAGCUCUCUUGAAAGAGCUUGGUGCUCUGCUGCUGCCGAGAAUACGACUGAUGUAAGGGAAUUAACGCCUGAGUUCUUUUUUUUACCUGAAUUUUUAACUAACAUCAAUAAAUAUAACUUUGGUGUAGAUCAAAGUGGAAAAAAAGUUAACGAUGUCAUUCUUCCUCCAUGGGCAAAUGGUGACGCAAAGGUUUUUAUUCAGAAAAAUAGAGAAGCUUUGGAAAGCCCGUAUGUAUCAAAGCAUUUGCAUGAGUGGAUUGAUUUGAUAUUUGGCUUUAAGCAAAAAGGUAAGAAUGCUAUGGAUUCUGUUAAUGUAUUCAACAGGUUAAGCUAUCCCGGUGCCGUAAACCUAGAUAAUAUUAACGAUGAGAACGAACGUAGAGCUAUUACAGGCAUCAUUCACAAUUUUGGCCAGACGCCUUUGCAGAUAUUCCAGGAACCUCACCAAAGAAAGUUGGUCUUUGAUAUUCGACAGUUACCGACAGAAGUAUGGCAUAAAAUCCCAAGUAAGCCGAUAUUCGAAAAAUUGGUUUUGAAUUCAAAUGGAAAGAACAGGCCCGUGAGUUAUGUUAUACACGAUUUCAAUUACUUUGAUUCUCUUUAUUGGAGAGGAUUCGCUUUUCCAAAUUUGUUUCUCAAAACAGAGGAAGGAGUAGUGUCGUUCAAGAUUGUUCAUAAAAGUUCGUUUAGAAUUGGCGUAGACUUCUUCGAAAAAACACACAUGGCACAAAUCACUUCUUUCACAAAUUGGAAAUCUGGUCAGUUUAUAACUGGAGAUGAAACUGGAUUAAUAAAAGUUUGGAAAUACCAUAAAAACAAGCAUGGCGCCUUAGGACACCUUGAAAAGAAAAAAGCAAUGCUAGGGCACUUAUAUGAAGUAAAGGAAAUAUCUUGCUAUUUAGAUUACAACAUGCUUUUAACUUUAGAUGUUAGCGGCUUAGUCUAUGUCUGGGAUAUGAUAAAUUUCGAACUGGUAAGAGAAAUAUCUGCUAAUGCGAAGCGGAUAGCAAUAUCUCAACACACCGGGAGUAUAAUGGUUCUAACUGAAAAGAAUGUCAUAUCCGUUUUCAAUUUGAAUGGUGAAGAGUAUACUUCAAAGGCAUUCGAAGCGGUUAAAAUUGCAAGCUCUAUCGAAUUUCUAGAUUUUACAAAACUAGACACCGGUUACAGACAGCAUAUCUAUUGGAAAGAAAAUGAAGUACUGUUAGUCGGUUUCGAAGACGGAAAAAUAGAAAUUUAUGAGCUCCAUUUGAACUCUCGUAACGAAUGGGCGAUGAAAUUGCUCAAAGAGCUUUCUACAGGGAGAGGAAAAGCAAUAACUAGUAUUAAGGCACAAGGUAAAACAUACCUAUCCCAGAAAACACACAAGGACCCAAAAGAGCAAAGCGAAAUAGAAGUGAUUUCAGGCACUGGAGAUGGUAGGCUGACAAUCUGGUACUAAGCACGCCCCAAAACGCCAUUUGAGGACCCGCUUUUGUAGUUUACAGUUUUAUCUUCAAAUCAUUUCUAUUACUCUUAUUGUAAUUGCGUACGUAAUCAAUAUCACUAUUAACGCUGUGUGGUUUUUUAGCUUUUCCUCUUUGUUUCGCCUAUGGAAAACAGCAAAAGGGUAAAGGAAAAAAAAAAACAAACGAUUAGUUCUUCAUCAAAUUAUGUAAAAGUACCUUACACAAUCGCAAACUUUAUAAGGAUAGGGACAUUCUGAUUGCUUUUCACUUGUGCACCCUCCCAUAUAUUCAUUUGUUUUUGAGAAAGGUGGCGGAAACGAAGCCCUUACAUUGCUAAAUCACCAAAAAGCAAAAAAGACAACCACUAAAUUGUCCGGGAAAGGCCUACUUAAUAAUUGCCCACUAACUUGUGCAUAAAACAAUCAGAAAUAAUACCUAAACACUAAAAAACCAUGGGAUAUCCACCGCCUACGCGAAGGCUUAGUGAUAAGAAAAGAUACCAUUACUCUAACAAUCCUAAUCGAAGGCAUCUUUCCGGUGUUUAUCCAAAAAACGGCUUCCCAAAACCAAUUAUUAAUGGAUUUACAUCUUCCCCUACAGCAGAAACUUCUGCAAACACCUCCGUUAGUCCUGCCACUGUACCACCACCACCACCACCUCCUUCAAUACCUAGCACAUUUGGCAUCGAAGCGCCCAGGCCAUCCCGGUAUGAUCCCGGCUCAGUUAAUAGGCCUUCAUCGUCAUCUUAUUUGUCAACGAGGAAGACCGGAAGUCGGUACAAUCCAGAGGUUGAAAGGCCCUCUUCAGCCGGUAGUUCAACGCCGGAAAAUACCAACGCAAAUACCACCCCAAAUACCAAUAUUGACACCGGAAAAUCACGCUAUUCUCGAAAAACCAUGAGCAGAUAUAACCCUCAAUCGAACAGCUCUUCAAACAUCAUGCAUUUUUCCCCACCAACUUCAAACACAUCACCAUUUUACGUCCCCAAUGGUAAUUCCCGGGGCAGACCUAGAUCGAUGGAUGAUCAUAGUCCUGAUAUAGCAAACAACCCUGAACUGGGUAGCGUUUCAUUGGUUAAUAGCAACAGCGCUCAUUCCUAUUACUCCAGGAGCAACAAAUGGAGAUCUGUUGGAACACCUUCCAGGGCGCCUUUUGAUAACCACGUUAGUAAUACAGCAACCACCAACGGAACUCAUCAAAGAGAGCCCUUUUGGAAAGCUAAUAAUAAUGUACUUUCAAAAUCUACUCACUCACAGUCGUCGCCUUCCCUUUAUGAUACUAAAUUUCACGAGAUAAAUAAAAUGGACAAACCCGACUCUCCAGUUAAGAUUGGAGGAUUAAAUAAAGAUGAAGCAAAAGAUCUUCCACAUGACGAUAAUAAAUUCCAAUCUGAAGAAUCAGAUAUCAUACGCCAUGUGUCUACAAAGCUUGAUAGUUUCAAGGCACAUGAAAACGGAAGUUUAGAAGAAGAAAGUUCACAUAAAAGAGAACCUGAGAUAACGAAAACCCGCCAUGAGCCAGAAAAAAGAAAAGAACACGGUAGACUCGAAGACGACUUUAGAAAACCAAAAGCAACUAGUGUGGAUGUAAAACAAGAUGGAUUAUGGACAACGACUACAAGAGCUGUCAAUACAAUAGGAAAGGUUAAAGAACAGAAAAAAGAACAAAUAAACUUCAUCAAGAAAGAAGAAAGCUCAGAAAUUAGAAACUACGAAUGGAUAUACGACCCUGAAGCUUUGAAAACUGAUUUAACAGAACUGACACUUGAGAAUGAAAACAAGUGUUACGAAGAGCCGCUUGAAAAAGUAGAAGCAUGCAUUUUUCCAUUAUCAAAGACAGAAACAAGGUUAUGGGAAUUAAAAAACCAGAGGAGAGACAAAAUCAUCAGUAAACAGAAGUACUUACUGAAAAAGACGGUGAAGUCUUUCACAGAGUAUCCAUUUUAUGCCCAAAACAAGCUUAUUCACCGGCAAGCCACAGGACUCAUCUUAACCAAAAUCAUUUCAAAGAUCAAAAAGCAGGAAUAUCGAAAAAUAAUAAGCCUAAAGCAUAGCUAUUUUGGCUUACAGAAGAAAUACGAAAAAGAAUGUGAAAUUUUGGCCAAAUUAAGUGAAAAUUUAAGAAAGGAAGAGAUUGAAAAUAAGCGCAUAGAACAUGAAUUAAUGGAGCAGAAGAGACGUGAGGGCGGUGUUGAAAUUGAAAAAGACAAGGAUUUACGCAAACCUUCCUCGUCCUCGUCAUCUCGUCGCAGAAAUAGAGCUGAUUUCGUUGACGAUGCAGAAAUGGAAAACGUGUUACUUCAGAUUGACCCAAACUAUAAGCAUUAUCAGGCUGCUGCAAAAAUCCCGCCACUGAUAUUAAAUCCAGUUGAAAAAUAUUCUUAUAAGUUCCGUGAUGUAAAUAACUUGGUAACAGACAAAAAUCACUGGGCCUCUAGAAUAUUAAAAGACGGUGUUGAUACAUUUUCUGACCAUGAGCAUUCUUUAUUUUUGGAAGGUUAUUUGAUUCAUCCCAAAAAAUUUGGUAAGAUUUCACACUACAUGGGUGGUCUGAGAACUCCUGAGGAAUGUGUUUUGCAUUAUUAUAGAACCAAAAAAACCAUCAAUUAUAAGCAACUCCUCAUGGAUAAAAACAAAAAAAGAAAAAUGUCAGCAGCUGCUAAGCGCCGUAAGAGAAAAGAAAGAAGCAAUGACGAAGAGCUUGAAAAUGACCAAGGUAAAGAAGAGUCUGCCGGCACAGCGGAUAAGGAAGAAAAGAGUGAAAACUUUGUCGAAGAAAUUGUUUAUCCCGUUCUGGUCCAAGGUCCUGAGGCGGAUGCUAAUCUGCAAGACAAACCCGAAAAACUCAUCGGGAAUAUAACCGAACAGGAAAGCGAAGAUGUGACAUUUAAACCAGAAGAAACUGUACAAACUAAUGAAUUGAAAAGGGUGCAUGAUGUGAUUGGGGACAAUGACAGAAAUUUUAGUAUUAUUAAAGUUAACAGCGACUUCUCAUUCACGGCACCCAGAGAAGGGAUGCAAAACGAUUAUUAUGGGGAGGAGCCAAGAGAACUAGAUUUUAGUUUAGAAAAUGCGCUGCAAAGAAAGAAGCACAGAUCCGCACCGGAACAUAAGACAAGUUAUUGGAGCGUCCGUGAAUCUCAACUUUUUCCAGAGUUGUUAAAGGAAUUUGGCUCCCAAUGGUCUUUAAUAUCUGAAAAACUGGGUACCAAAUCAACUACCAUGGUAAGAAACUACUACCAAAGAAACGCUGCUCGUAAUGGGUGGAAAUUAAUUGUUGAUGAGACUGAUUUGAAGCGAGACGGAACAAGUUCUGAAUCCGUACAACAAUCUCAGAUCAUGAUACAACCAGAGCGUCCAAAUAUUAAUGCUUAUAAUAACAUUCCUCCACAACAAAGGCCCGCCCUGGGGUAUUUUGUUGGACAACCAACCCAUGGACCUAGUACAUCUAUAUCUUCUGUUGACGGGUCUAUGAGACCAUUCGGACCUGACUUUCAUCGUGAUAGCUUUUCUAAAGUUAGUACGCCUUUAACAACUUUACCACCACCAAGACUACCUUCCAUCCAAUUCCCACAUUCAGAAAUGCCUGAGCCUACGGUUACAGAUCUGCGCAACAGAACUUUAGACCAUAUCGACACAUUAGCCGAAGCAGCCUCAUCAGUAACAAAUAGUCAGAAUUUCAGUGAUGAAAGACACGCCAUUGGCACUAACCACAAAUCAACAACGAUUAGUAGUUUACUGAACAAUGCUGACCGGGAUGUCAAGGUUCCUUUCCAAAAGACUUCUAAGCAGCAAGCACACGUUGAGGGUACUCCUAAGUUGAAUAACAUUGUAGUACAAGAAAUAAAACCUAACAUCACUACCCCAAGAUCCAGUUCUAUUUCCGCACUAUUGAACCCUGUUCAUGGGAAUGGUCAACUGAAUCCAGAUGGGAGACCGUUGCUACCAUUUAACAAUAUCACUUCUCGUGGGCCUCCUAGUUUUCCUUUACCCCCUCCGCGGACUAGUACGGCCAUUCAUGCGCCUCCAAAGUUCAAUUUUUCCAAUGACCCAUUGGCGGCUUUGGCUGCAGUUGCAUCAGCACCAGAUGCAAUAAAUGGCUUUUUGUCCAAGAAGGAUAAUGAUAAUUAGGAAAACGGCUGAAACAAGACACUAUCUACUUUUUACGUCUCUGCCCGCUAGUUGAUAAGAAACACGUUUUAUCGUGCGUGUUGUAUUAUAUUCUAUAUAUCAAAUAAGGAGUUUUUAAUGAUGGUUGUAAUUUCGUAUUAUUUUUUUUGUAUUAUGAAUACUUUCUGAGUAUAAACGAUUCUCUUCAAACGUCAUCUAACAAUGCACAUUUCCGCCGCUUUUUGAUACGAAUUCACAUGCCUUGGCGCGGCCACUGGCGAAAAUCGCAAAACCUACUGAGAAAUAAACAUCGCGAAAAAAGUCGAUGAAAAACUGGAAAAAUUAUUUUCAUUGAAUUAUCGUCCACAAGUAACUUGGUGCAAAAAAAAAGACUGAGCUAACCAUCAUUGCCUUAAAGCCAUGAAUUCACUCGUUACUCAAUAUGCUGCUCCGUUGUUCGAGCGUUAUCCUCAACUUCAUGACUACUUGCCAACUUUAGAACGCCCAUUUUUCAAUAUCUCAUUGUGGGAGCAUUUCGAUGAUAUCGUCACGUGUGUGACCAACGGUAAGUUUGUUCCAAGUGAAUUCCAGUUUAUCCCAGGCGAACUGCCAUUGAGUACAUUGCCUCCUGUGCUAUACACUAUCGCUGCUUAUUACGUGAUUAUUUUCGGCGGUAAGUUUGCAUUGAGUAAGUCGAAACCUUUUAAAUUGAACGGCCUUUUCCAAUUGCAUAAUUUGUUUUUAACUUCUCUUUCAUUGACACUAUUGAUUCUGAUGGUUGAACAAUUAGUGCCAAUUAUUGUUAAGAACGGGUUAUACUUUGCUAUUUGUAAUAUUGGUGCUUGGACUCAACCAAUGGUUACAUUGUAUUACCUGAACUACAUUGUCAAAUUUAUCGAAUUUAUAGACACCUUCUUUUUGGUGCUAAAGCAUAAGAAAUUGACAUUUUUGCAUACUUAUCACCAUGGUGCCACUGCUUUAUUGUGUUACACCCAAUUAAUGGGUACUACUGCUAUCUCAUGGGUCGUCAUUUCGUUGAAUCUUGGUGUUCAUGUCGUUAUGUAUUGGUACUAUUUCUUAGCUGCCAGAGGCAUUAGAGUUUGGUGGAAGGAAUGGGUUACCAGAUUUCAAAUCAUUCAGUUUGUUUUGGAUAUCGGUUUUAUUUAUUUCGCUGUUUACCAGAAAGCCGUCCACUUAUAUUUCCCAGUCCUGCCACAUUGUGGUGAUUGUGUUGGGUCGACUACUGCUACAUUUGCUGGUUGUGCUAUUAUUUCUUCAUACUUGGUGCUAUUCAUUUCAUUCUACGUGAACGUUUACAAGCGUAAAGGUACCAAGACCAGUAGGGUCGUUAAGCGCGCACAUGGUGGUGUUGCUGCCAAAGUUAACGAAUACGUUAACGUUGACCUGAAAAACGUUCCUACUCCAUCACCAUCACCAAAACCUCAACACAGAAGAAGAAAGUAAGUUAAAACUAAUCUUCAAACAAGUUUUAAAUGUUAAACUUCUAUAAGUUUUUCUUUUUCUUGGUGUAUCUACUAUUACUAUUAUUAUUAUUAUUAUUAUUAUUAUUAUUAUUAUUAUUAUUAUUAUUAUUAUUAUUAUUAUUAUUAUUAUUAUUAUUAUUAUUACUAUUAUGUUGCGGAAAGUGAGAAGGUUCUUUAUAUAUGUAUAUACACAUAUAUACAUACAUAUACAUGCCGGGAGUUUACUUAGUAUAUCUAGAUGUUCUCUCAAAGAAAAAGUUUUCGAUUCUCUCUCAAUAACCUGCCCUUUAAUUUUUGAGUAAAAGCUUUAUGUGUUUAAUCUUGUCGAUAAAUCAUUCGCCCUCACCUUCGACAAUAAUAAUGACCUUUUUAUCAUGUUUGGUGUUAUUUUAGCACCUGCUCCCACUAAUGUCAAUUGGGUAUAGUUGCCUUUAGCAUUAGCAAUCACAGAGAUUGUAGAAUGAAUACUUGUUUCUUCAGCUUCAGUAUCCAAAUCGGCUAUUAGUACAGAUCUGGCUUCGUCCAUAUCAAUAUCAACUUCUUCUUCAGCGUUAUCAGGAUCUUGUAAUUGUGAUUCAGGGUCUAAGUCUAUUACUCCAUAAUUUGAAGCAAAUGCAAUAUUUUGUGAGUUUAUCAUUAACGGUAGUGAUUUCGUUUGGUCACAUAAAAUUUCGUAUGUUUCUCUUAUAGUGGCACUUCUUCCUCUUGUUCUUAUAGUCAUCCUCAAGUCGGACGCACGUUCAUCUAUAAAUGCUCUAGGCAGUUUCACAUUUUGUAAAGCGUACAUUAAGGAAUUCCAGCACAAAUCAAAUACUGGACCAGUACGACUCAAAACUAUAAUCUUCGCAUACAAAACGUAUGACCAUUUUCUUUUCAUUUUCAGGUUUGUUUCAUUUGAUGGAUCGUUUUCUAACUCAUCCGGAUAUAAAACAGAUAAUGUACCAUCCUCGUUCACACUACGAACACCUGCCUUCACUUUCAAAGCCUGUUUGGGCAGUAUCCUAGAAUGCAAUACAGAAUCGUAUAGUUUUUGUGAUAUGGUCAUUUCUUCAUCAGUGCAAGCACCCACUCUACCUCUUUCAACUUCCACCACUGGGUAAAUGGAGGCAUAAUUCGCAACUACAUUUUCUUCCUUGGUUAUUUCGUACAACUCUUCCUCACCGAAAUCAUCUAAGUCUUUGAUUGAGGCGCUGUUUUCUUCUAUUAUCCCACCAGUGAUAGAAGUGAUUACUAUAGUUUUUCCACUUUUCAAAACAUUCGACCCUAAGAUAUUGUUUUUUGCAUUCACAUUCUCUGUAUCCACGUAACGGGACAAAGUGUUGUUUUCUAUUGUAACUUCUCUAAACUCUUCAUAUUUUCUUAGACAUGGUCUGAUACCUAGAGAUAAAUGUCUUUGUAAAGAUAAUUCCGGGGAUAUUCUUGCAAGAACGUCCGGUGGAAAAGUAAUUGGGUGGACUUCAAUAGUAUCCAAAGCAGUAUUUUCAGCCAUCUUCGGUGAUAUAGUCGUUUGGAAGCCUUGGCACUGGUAUAUUUCAAACUGUGCUCAUCGUCUUAUACUUCAUCUUUAUUACUAUGGAAAAUUCUGAAAAAAAAAGAAAGAAAAAUAAUAAAUUCCGUUUAUAGCGAUAUUUCAUUUUUCUCAUUGUCCAAGCGGGUAUAACAAUAUUAUAUCCGUAGACGGCCUUUAAUAGUGGGAAAAAACAAUUAAGGAUACUCAAUUGUUCAUUAAUUUGUGCAGUUAUAUUAAAACUGAGGCAACACUUUUUUGUUUGAGAAAUGGGCAUUACGGUGAUUGGUUCUUUGAACUACGAUUUGGACACAUUUACAGAUAGAUUACCUGAUGCAGGGGAGACUUUCAGGGCCAACCGCUUCGAAACUCAUGCAGGUGGUAAAGGAUUGAACCAGGCUGCGGCUAUUGGUAAACUAAGAGAACCUAGCAGUGACUACAGUGUUAGAAUGAUUGGGAAUGUUGGCGAUGACGCAUUUGGUAACCAAUUGAAAGACGUUUUGAAAGAUUACAAGGUAGACACUACAUAUGUCGGUACUUGUGCUGAAACUAGUACAGGUACGGCUACCAUAUUGAUAGAAGAGAAAGUAGGUGGUCAGAAUAGAAUAUUGAUUGUUGAAGGUGCUAACGGAAAAACUGUGUAUGAUAGCAAGCAAUUGAGUGAAUUUUUCCCUAAAGACAAUAAUGAUGAAGAAUAUGUAGUAUUCCAACAUGAAAUUCCAGACCCUAUAUCGAUAAUUAAAUGGAUACACGAGAACAGGCCAAGUUUCCAAAUCGUAUACAAUCCUUCACCAUUCAAGGCCAUGGACAGGGGAGAUUGGGUGUUGAUAGAUAUUCUAGUUGUGAAUGAAAUCGAAGGACUUCAAAUCCUAGAAACUAUAUUUGAUGAUCAUUUCGUCGAGCAAGUAAAAGUGCAAAUAAAUAACGAUUUCAUUGGUGAAUAUCGUAAAAUUUGUGAAAUAUUACAUAAAGCACUUAUUGACCAAAAUGGAAAAGGCACUGUGGUUAUGACUUUGGGUUCUAAAGGUGUGUUGUUUUGUUCACAUGAAAAACCUCAAGUGGAAUUCCUUCCAGCCGUUAAAGAUGUUUCUGUAAUUGACACCACUGGAGCUGGAGACACCUUUUUAGGUGCUUUGGUCACCCAAUUGUACCAAGGAGAGAAAUUGUCUACGGCUAUAAAUUUUUCUACUUUGGCAAGUUCGUUGACUAUUCAGAAAAAAGGUGCCGCUGAAAGCAUGCCAAUGUAUAAGGACGUUGAAAACGUUAUGUAAUAAUUCAGAGAUAUGAUUUUUUAUUUAUACUUCUUCUAUUUUUUAUUUGUGUAAGACAUCGAAUUGUACAAAAAUGCGGAAGUAAAAAGAAGUUACUCACGAAGAGGCUCUUUAGGUACUACUACCUUUCAACACGGAUGAACUAAUACCAUAACCUAUGGUGAUGACGCAAAUAAACGCUAAUAAUGAGGCAGGAACACCUCUUGAAAUAAAAGCCCCCACAGUUAACCACCUGUUUCCCUUUUUAUCGGUCAUGGAAAUAGCAGUAACGUUAGGGAACCCAGAGGAGGCCAGCCCCAUACCACAUGAGGCCAACAAAGCGCAACCGAAAACAAGAAUUGGAGCUGCCUUAGGGUCGGACAAUUUGUCACCAACUUCUUGUACCAAAGGAAUAAUGAUAAUAGCUGACACUGUGUGCGAGACAAAAGUACCAACGACCAACAUUAAGAUCCCGAAGAUACAUAAGAUAGCAAAGACACCGUCAUUCUCAAUUUUCUUUUGUAAAGCUCUUGCGAUGGUAACUAAUAAACCCGAUGAAGAAACUGCUUUACCAAGGGCAAUACCACCCAUUGCCAAAACAACAAUCGACCAGGGAAAGGUGUUAAAAUCCUUUGUCGACAAUAACCCUGUACCGAAAAACAAGACGAUUGGUAAAACAGCGAUCAAACCAGACGAUCCAAAGGCACUUUCGAUUUGUGAUUCUACACACCAUAAAAGAAUGGUAGCAAUUGUCACAGCGAUGAUGUAGUAUUGUUUUAUAGUAAACCUGGUUUUUAUCGGCUUGAAUUUUUCAAGCUUCGUUUUGUUUAUUUUAAAAGAGAAAAUCAUCACAGCCCAUGCACACAACAUCGAUAAAAUACCUGUAGGUAAUGCCACGGUAAAGAAUUGGCCCCAGCCAAUACCAUAAGGCUUCAAGUACUGCAUUGAAAUAAUAUUUUGGGGUGAAGAAAUUGGUGAAGCCAUACCACCAAUAUCUGCAGAAAGUGCCACUCCCAUCACCAAGGCCUUGGCAAAUGGUGAAGUGUAGUCUAAUGGGUCUAAUAACGGCGUCAGUAAGGAAUAAGUUAAAACGGGGGAAGCCACAUUGGAAAUCCACAUGGAAAGGAAGAACACUACACCCAUUGCCAUCAAAAGAACAUUUCUCGGCUUUGUACCUGCAAGGGCCAAUAACCAAGAAGCUAGGACUUUGGCAAUAUUGUAUUGAGACAAAGCUUCACCCAAUGUGAAACCUGCCAACAAGAUCAUAAUAGUAGAUGACCACAUUGUACCUAAAAUUUCUGAAGAGGCAGCCGAGGCUUUCAUCACACUACCAUCGUCGUUCUUAAGGACACGGAAAAGGACAGUUAGAAGGGGGACGAGUAGACCUGUAAUGUGUAAUGGAAUGGCUUCACUGGCCCAUAAGAAAGCACAGCAUUCCACCAAAGCCAUACAUCUGUGUUCCACAGGAUCAUUAAAAGUCUUCACACCUAACAGAACACCUGUGACAAUUAUGAUGAACCCUAUUUUCAUGGCCCUUUUACCAAAGAGCAGUUUUGGGACUGCCAAAUUCUCUAUAGUGGUAAACUUUAAAUUUAUUGGCUUUGGCAGAGGAUACUUCAAGUAUUCAAUUUGAAGCUUUUCGCGCAUUAAUUUUUCAGUUUCGUCUUCAAUCGCUAUUAUAUCUCUGUUUUGUGAUGAAAGACCUAACAUGUCUUUCCAGGUGUUGCUUCUCUCCCAGACAAUGUGGUCGUGCAGGUAAGAUUUAAGCUCUUGCUUGCAUGAAUCUACAUUACCAGGGUGGCCCAUCAAAACGGCGUAAAAUUCGAUAAGUUGUGCGAUUUUGUUGUUCAAAGUGGCCAAUGUUUCGUGCUGGAAGAUGUAGGUAUCUUUGAAGAACUCUUCACUUUCAAUCAGUUCUUGUUUAGUAUUCAUAUGUAGCACUUUAUCGGACUUCUUGGUGAUUUUUCCAAAGCCCAUUCUGUUUAGCUCGAUGAAUGAUUUCAAUUGACAAAGGUCUAUGUAAAGAUUGAUUAUAGUUUGCUUGAGUAGAGACUUUUUCUGAGAUUUGAUAUUGAAUUGAGAAUAAUUCAAAAGGGCUGUAUUAUCUGUGGUGUCUGUGUAAACAUCCACUUCGUCAUCAUCAUCCAUUUCUUCUUCACUAUAAUCAAACCUGUUUCUUAGUUCACUAUCAUUGUUAGAAGAGUGAAACUCAAAUGGGUUUGUAGAUACGUGCACCUGGGAUUUAUCAGAAACAAUUUGUCUUAAAGGAGGCAAAUCUUGGAUUUCAGGAUCAAAGGCCUCGCUCACUCUUGUGACGAUGCUUUCUUUUUCCAGGUCAUUAAUCAAGUGGACAAACCUUUCAUAGAAUUUGGCUUCCAUUCUUUUGUAAAAGUCAUCUACCUUCAAUUUUUCGUCGCUUAGGUUGGUAACAAAAGUAUCAUAUGAACUGAACAGGGUCUUUCCCUCACUACUCACUGAUGAACUACGUGAAUCAAAGAAUUUCUUACCUAAAAAUUUCCGAUUGAAAGCCGUAGCUUUCCCUUGAGGUGACAGUUCGUCUAGCUCAAUGGUUUCCUCAUUUAUGUUGUUUCCAUCGAUUGCUUUUUCAUCUGCUUCUCCAUUUUGUUUACUGGAUGAAGACGAUUGUUUAGAACCGAACAAUUUAUGCUUAAGCUUGUGAGUAAACUUUUUCUUAGAAGAAGAUGGUUCUCCUGCUGGGACAUUACUUUCUAUAUCCGCAAUUGGACCUGGGGUUUGAGACCUGACUUCAUCGUUUGUUGUAUCCUGUUUCAAUUCAUCUGUUUGUAAUGUAUAGAUAAGAUUCUUCAGUUCGUUGUAGUCCAGAUAAUGAUUCUGCCAUUCAGGAACUGCAUUGUAUUUGAGAAAAUGUGAGAAUCUCAUGGCUCAGAUACAAUGAAAAGCCGCCUUUGUCCUGGUUCUGCUGCCUUUCACAGAAGGAUGACUUCUUUUUUGGUGUGGGAAUAUGUUUUCUAGUCAUAGUUUUUCACUGCAUCGGAUUAUUUUUGCCCACGUGCCGAAAUAACUAUUAAUCAAUUAAUCUAAGGCUUAGAAGUAAGGAACGUAUAGAGAGGAGAUGAUGUAUUGUUGAUUGUAAGAUACUGUUUAAAAUAAGUAGUUCAGUAAGUAGGAAUAAUUGAUAAUAAGCUGUUCUUUUUUGAAAUAAGUAUUUAGGGAUUAUAUACCGUUCGUGCAUACUGGUUAUAUGAAACCCAAUCGUACUGACUUAGUUUAAAUCUGAACUUUGAGGCAUCGGGUAUAACUUAUGUACUUAUGUUCUAAUAUUUAAUCAAACAUUCGUUCUCUAGCCUUAUUGUUGGGAAUAGAGCUAUAAAAAGUUCUAUAAUAAUGUAUUCUUAUUAUCAUCUUUGUUUCACAUUCAACAUAAUGAAUGUCACAUAAAAGACUUUCCUAAAUAGCUUUCGUCAAACAACUCUAUCAAACUACAAGUAUAGAUCAAUUCAUGAAGGUUAGUGGUUAAGUGACGGCGUUUGCUAAUAGGAUUAACCUAUAUGUAUGACGAUUUUUUUUUCAGGAAUUAGGUAAAGUUCUUCUAUAUUUUAGUACUAAACAUGAAUAUUAAUUAUAAAAUAUAUCUAGACUUUUCAUUUUCUCUUUUAUACUGUACGUUUUACACAAGUCUGGGAACUUUAGCAAUACUGACUUGGUAGGCUCUAUCUUUAUUGUCGUUGUACAAGCUAUUUACGUCAGUCAUAGCUACCAAAAGGUUUUUUGCAUUAAGAUCCGCACAAGUCAAAGUUUUAUAUUGCAUUUGUUGCAAAUGUUGGGCGAAGGCUAUAAUCUUCGUUAUUUGAUGGAAUUUAUUCAUGUUGAUACCAGUUUCAUCUUUGGCGAAUGUUUCGUUUCCAUCCCGGAUGAAUGUUAUAUCUCUUAUGAACAGGGAAGUAAACGGCACGCACGGCAGCCCAUUGUGUGCAAUAUCUUGGAUAAUGCUUCUGUAAACAUUGUAGUUGUUGUUGGGGUGUACUAUGGUCUUUAAGGUCUCAAAAAGGCUGUCUAACUUGACGUCUAGUGGAAAAGAUAGUCUUUCAAUUGAAUGGUUCUGCAGCGUGGUGAUAAUAGAAGCGAGAGAGUUCAGGUUCCUUAGAUAAAGGCAAGAUAACGCGACAUGUAACCAAUAUGAAAUUGUGUGUGUCUGUUGUAUAGUCGUCUCAAGUACAUAGUACGAUAGCUGAUUUGAAAACUUAAACACCAAGUCGAUUGUUGUAUUGCUAUGUUUGAAAUACUUUGGAAACUCUAUUGUUUCAACAGCCAAGAACAGGGCCGACUCCAAGAGGGUCAAUGUCUUUGCGAGUGUCCAUGGAGGUAUAUCAAGAUCAAAUGUUUCUCCUUCUGGCUUCUCACCUUGUUUCCAUUGCAAGAGCAAUGUUUCGAGAUCGCUUGUGUGAGAAAGCUCGUAAUUUUCGUCAAUUCUAUCUGUUUUGUAUUCCUCAAAUAAUGUUGUGUAAUCAGUAACUGGUUUGCUGGUUUCCAGUUCAUGGUCAGGUAGGCCAAUGUAUUGCACCUUUAAUUGUCUGGUUCUUGCCCCACCUGCAAGCAAUUGAACAACCUCCGGAAACAACAUAUCAUACAUUUCCGAAUCAGCCAAAUGGUCGCACCAAAAGAGGAGAAUGUCGUUCAAGGUAUGGUUGGUAUCUAGCCAAUAGGAUUGUAGCCAGAGUUGGAUUAGGCGAAGGACAGAGUGUCUCUCUUGUUUGUCUUUAUUUUGGAGAUAGCAGUGUAGCAAUUCUUGGAGCAGUCCAUUGUCAGUUGUCCAGUCCCUAAAGUUUAGUAACAGGUUUCCAGACUCAAAGGGGGAUGGCUUUUGCCAUUGGUGGGUGUCGAGCGGGAGCAUUUUAUCGAGGUAUUGUUGUAUUUCUACUACCUCUUUUAGGGCCUCAUCCAUGGAGAAAAGCAAAUGGUCCUCCCCCAUUAUGACCUGGAUUAGUGCCGCGACCCUUUGGAAGUCGACGUUGCUAUGAAGAAGGUAAUAGGCGAUUUGCUUAAACAAUUCUUUGGUUGCGUGUUGGAUUGAGGUUACGAACGGUCGCCAAACGGCGAGAAACCUCCAAGCAGAGUUUGCGACUACCAAAAGGGUAUCCUGGUUUGCGUCAGCACCCAGCCUGUACCAGUCACUGAGUAGGCGCUUUCUUGCUCUUCGUAUUUCGUGGUUUCUUUUUAUCAGGGGACAUUCUCUGGAGACGCAAGCAGUUGCUUCCAGCAACUGCCGUACGGCCGUUCUCAUAUUAUCGAGGAUUUUUUUUGGGACGAUAUUGUUGUUAUGAUUCUGUGUGUGGCUUAAGAACUGUAUUAGGAGUACAUCGGUAACGUUGGAAAGGUGUAUUUUGUUUACUCUUCUUGUAACUAUUUGGCCCUGAAUGGCGAAGCGUACGGUUACAAAUUGGUCGUCUUGUUCAAGAAGGUAGGCCAGGACAUUAUCUAUCAGUACAAACAUCUUAGUAGUGUCUGAGGAGAGGGUUGAUUGUUUAUGUAUUUUUGUUUAUGUAUAUGUGUAUAUAUAUAUAUAUUCUACACAGAUAUAUACAUAUUUGUUUUUCGGGCUCAUUCUUUCUUCUUUGCCAGAGGCUCACCGCUCAAGAGGUCCGCUAAUUCUGGAGCGAUUGUUAUUGUUUUUUCUUUUCUUCUUCUAUUCGAAACCCAGUUUUUGAUUUGAAUGCGAGAUAAACUGGUAUUCUUCAUUAGAUUCUCUAGGCCCUUGGUAUCUAGAUAUGGGUUCUCGAUGUUCUUUGCAAACCAACUUUCUAGUAUUCGGACAUUUUCUUUUGUAAACCGGUGUCCUCUGUAAGGUUUAGUACUUUUGUUUAUCAUAUCUUGAGUUACCACAUUAAAUACCAACCCAUCCGCCGAUUUAUUUUUCUGUGUAAGUUGAUAAUUACUUCUAUCGUUUUCUAUGCUGCGCAUUUCUUUGAGUAAUACAGUAAUGGUAGUAGUGAGUUGAGAUGUUGUUUGCAACAACUUCUUCUCCUCAUCACUAAUCUUACGGUUUUUGUUGGCCCUAGAUAAGAAUCCUAAUAUAUCCCUUAAUUCAACUUCUUCUUCUGUUGUUACACUCUCUGGUAACUUAGGUAAAUUACAGCAAAUAGAAAAGAGCUUUUUAUUCGCAACAGUAUAAUUUUAUAAACCCUGGUUUUGGUUUUGUAGAGUGGUUGACGAAUAAUUAUGCUGAAGUACGUGGUGACGGAUAUUGGGAAGAUGUGUUUGUACAUUUGGCCUUAUAGAGUGUGGUCGUGGCGGAGGUUGUUUAUCUUUCGAGUACUGAAUGUCGUCAGUAUAUCUAUCCUAUUUACAAAUCCCCAUUCUCUUGCCCUUGCUCUCAAUGUUUGUUUAUAUAAUCCUAUUGCUAUGUGUUUAUGUUUACAUAUAUCUUCAUGUCUAUACAUAUAUAUAUAUAUAUACAUAUGCUACUAUUAUGCAUUAAAAUUCUCUUUUACGUCCUGCCGAUCAGUCUUUCUUUGCCUUUAUCUUGACCAUAAAUGAUCUUGAUGUGACUUUUAUAAUUUGAACGGAUUCGCUAUAUGGGACGGAGGACAACACUACCAUCCCUCUGGGUUGUUGUUGAAUCUUGACAAACCUUAAUGGUAAACUCCCUAUACGGUUUACACUGCUUUUCACCUUUCUAGGUUUGCUGAGCACUUUGGGCUUGAUUACUGGCUUUUCCACUUUACUUACGGGUUUGUCAUUUUUCAACAUGAUUUUAAUCAUGUUGGCCUUCUCAGGAGCUUCAACAGCAGUAGUAACCUCCUUCUUAAUAUGAACCUUUAGUAUACUUUCACGUUUUAUAACUAUAUCCAACUUCUCUUCUUCGCGAGACUUGAUCUUCGCUGCAAGUCUCUUUUCCCUUGGAGCUUCCAAUUUAACAGCGAAUCUAUCAGUUAGCAUAUACAUCACUCUAGCCAAGUCAUGUAUCUGCUUUCUCUGGUACAGGCUAAGAAUGGGUAAAUUCAAAACAUCCCAGAGCAGAAUCUUUAAAGGGGUAUACCCUUUAAACAUAUCUCUGCAUAUUCGUAUUAAUCCAUUGAUAUUUUGACGUACAAUCUUAUCUCUUUUAAUCUUCAUAUCGUCCACAUAAUGCCCACUUAGGAACAGUUCUAUAUCAUCUUCAUUUUUUAGGUUUUGAGCCUCAUUGCGGACUAGUUGGACGGAGGAGUUGAUAUCAUCGUUCAACGUAUCCAUGCUUCCAUCCAUAACACAUGUGUUUACACUUUCUACAAGGACGUCAAUUAGUUUUUCUCUAAUGUAAACAUCCUCAUGAAAACAAAACAAUUCCGAAAACAAAACAAGGCAGUCCUUGUUUUUCAAGCCACCUUCAAGAAGCAUAAUUUUAACUGCCAUGAGCAACACAUUCUGAACGCUCUCUCUAGUGUCUUCAGUGCUCAUACCCUCCAAUGAUAAUGACUCCAUUAUCAUUUCUGGUAACUCAUUAAACUCAAUUGCCCCGGCUUUAUGGAAUCUGUACUUCGCAAACAUAAUACAAGUCUUGAUUAAAGACUCGUAUGAUGAAAGCCAGUUCACUAAAUUUUCGUACCUAACCAACUGGGACCUUACCUUAUCCACAUAAGCGGUAUCCUUUGAAUCACUUAAGGCAACGUUCACCACAUUCUCUAACAGAGAACAAACGUACACGUUGUCGCUAAACUUAUUCUCUCCAUUCUCGUUAUAAACAAGGAUAUCCAGCAAAAACUCUUUCACAAGUCUGGGGCAUUUCCCAUUUUCGUCCUUCACCUGAGCCAAAUAUUUGGGUAUGCCACAUUGUAAGAAAUACAAUGUGGCGUUUUCAAAAUUAUUACUUUUAGGUAUGUUAGAUCCUUCCAAGCAAAACUGGAUUUGGAAAAUCUGUAUUAAGUGUCUAAUGCCACCAAUGAAUCUUGGAUCAUAAACAUUUUUACUGAGCGCUUGGCACGCCGCGAGCCUUACGCCGAAAUAGUAUCUUUCGUCCAUGGCUGUCCUGAACAAAACACUUGAGUACACAAGUGACUUGCCAUCGCCAUUGACCACAACGUCCUCAUAAUACCGGAUGGCUUCAAGUUGCGCUUCUAUGUCACCAUCUUGCCUCAACUGUGAAGAAAACAUGUAAUCGGGCUGGUUGAUAUGCAUCUUGCAUAUCCAUUCAAAAUCAGAGUCUAUACGAAUCCAUUCAAACGCUUCGUUCUGUUUAAGCAGCUCACUGCUCUCUGAUGUGUGAUUGAAUUCGGUUAAAUGAAAUCGGGAACAUUCUUCGGGUGUCAUGUAUACAUUUCCUAGACAAUUCACGUCGAUAACGGUGGGCUUCUCCUCAAUACUGUUCUCUAAAACAGUCUCAUCAUUCGUGACACCGCCUCGUUUCCUUAACCUCCUGUAUUUCGUGUUAUAUUGAAUAUCUAUCUUGGUGAAUGAUUCCUUAAUUUCAACAAUAUGUUCAUACGGAGUUCCGUCGUGUUCGUGUAUCCUUAUUGUCAUGGAACCCGUGAAGCAUUCUGUUCGAUUCAAACUCGAGUGCUCGAGACGGUUCAAGGCGCUUUUGCAAAACCCUUGCUCACCAACAACUUUCCCUAGGCCUAAUUCAUCAUCUUGGACUUGCCUUAUACCCAAUUCUAUGACCAUUCUUUUCCUGUUAAACCUUUGGGUAACACGUAAGAUAGGAACACCAGACCCAAAUACCCAUUGGUUAAAGAAAUUGUCUAAUUUACUUUUGUUUACUCUUUCACAAACAUGUUGGAAAUGGGACGACGUUAGAGAAUUAUUAGGCAAAUCACCAGACAUAGCUUGAAGGAAGAUCUUCGGUAACACACGAGACAUGCCGAAUGAUCUCUCGGUUUUUGUCAUCCUUCGAUCAAGAAUAUAUAACACCAUAGGAGCUUUCAAUUUUAUGAAUGUCAAAUCUUUUGAAGUUCCGGAUAUUGGUCUGGAACUACCAGUAAAGGUAGCCCCAAUAGGAGGCAUUUCAAAAUCUUCUUCAACAAUUGCUUCACUAUUACACUUCAGUUGGUAUUUGUAUGCGUUAUUGCCCAUAAGUUUUUUUGUUACUUGGAAAACCAUAUACCCUGCAAUACCAAGACAACACCAAUAGUCGUUCAUGUUUAAAGGCGUAAUAUUAACACAGGACCAUUGAUUAGCUAAUGCCCAUGCUAAUUUGUUCGUAGUGCUGAAUACUUUAUCUACAACUUCCAAAGGAUACAGUAGUCUUGUAUUACAAACACCUAGUCCUGCAAAGUCCAUAUGGUCUGCAGUGACUGUUGGUAAGAACACCAUAGAAAAACAUGUGAAAGGGAAAGAGCCAAACUCUUUCGAAUAAAAGUCUAUAAUUUUUUGACACACAACUGUUGAGUUUAUGACUGUCGUUUCAUCGAUUUCGGGGGUGGGAAGUGUGAAAAUUUGAAUCGGUAUGAUAUCUGAACCAAUGCCAUCUUCAACAGAAUUAUUGACAUUGUCAAUUACAUUGUCUCUUAAUUUGUCCUCCUCUGCAUCUUCGUCAACGUCAACUGCUGGUGGAGAUAUCAGAGGGAGGGUCCAAGAAUUGAAAGCACCAAUAGCCCAUCCAACAUGGUGAGGUGCCACAGGGUUUAUAAUUUGAAAUACACAUUUCUUUUUGGUUAAGUCAAUAGGAUGCGGAAGCUCUUUGAUAUUAGAGUAUUCCGAACAACAAACAACUACGUCUCUCAAAACGGGGUUAUUACUUUCUUCAAAGUUUCGUCUAUCCUCAUCGUCAUCUUCUUCUUCUUCGUCACUUUCGCCGUCUUCCUCCUCUUCUUUUCCUUCUUCUUCCUCCAUUCCAUCUUUUGUGUCUUUAUCUUUCAAGUCUAUACUUUCCUCGCUAUCUUUUAACAUUUUAUCAUCUUCUUCUUCUCUUUUGAUAGAGGUACCUUGUUCUUCUUCAGAUGUUUCAUGAUUCUCUUCCUCAUCUUGUUCGCCAUUUUGUCCAAUCAACUUAGAAGUGCCUAUGUUUUUGACAAAUUUCGGUAUACUAAAUUCUAGUUCCCACGUAGAUUUUUCAUCUAACAAAUCAACACAUGGAACCCAAUAUGAUGCAGAGCUGCAAAUCUCCCCAUUCGAGGUGUAAACAUUCCACAACCAUGGUUUGUCGGCGUUCACAGUAUCGAACCUUAUGCCUGAUUUUGGGUUUCUUAUUUCGUAUUCGAUUUGCAAUGUAAUUGGGGUAAAAACUGAUUCCUGAAAGCCCGGUGUAGUCUUGAUGGAGGGGGUUAUUGGAGUAAAAUUGCUCAGAGAGUUCGCGUCUUCUAAUGAAAUCUUAAUAGAAGAUGGUAUUUUAAUGGUUAAUUGAGAUUUGGAGUCAAGUUCCGGGGUUUCAUUUAAAUUAGCAAAUUUCGACCUUAAAAAGUGCGAUUGUUCAAUGGAAUUGUCAGUGUAUAAUACAUUUUGCGAGGUAAUCCCGUUCAAUUUAUUCUGAAGUGGUUCAUCGUGUAUAAAUUGGUCGCAUCGACGAUUUUCAACCAGAACAUCUUUGAUAGCCAUUUCUUUGCAAUCGAAAGUCACAUAUUCCAGGUUUUGAAUCAAGGGGAUGAUUAUUAUGGUGGCGUUACCGGUAACACAAUGAGUAGCCAUAUCUAUAUCCAACGACACUUUUUCAUGAGCAACUCUAAAAUUUCGGAACUUCGAUUCAUCUAGAGUGCUAGGUUCAUUAGCAAUCGCUCUGGGAGUAGCAUUUUUCGAAAACGACAUUAUCAGGUCUAGUUGCCAGUCAACUUGUUGUGAGUUAGCGUCCUAAAACUCUACUAAACCACAGGUUUAUAUCGGCCAGCCUCGCUAAUGCUUUUCACCUUAAUGCAAUUUAUCAAUUGCCAAAUUCGGUAAAAAUUAUUUCAACCGUAACCCGGAUAAUAUACUAGAAUAAUACCGUUAAUUCUACUAUUACUUUAAUAACGUUGAAAUUAUAGAAUCAAUUUAUAAGGUCGAAUGUACCCAUUUUGCCCAAACAAAGUCUUGUUAGUAUUCUUGGAUGCUCCAAAUUAAUUUGGGCUUUUUUUUAAAUCUUUACGUAUAAUUUUUAUGUUUUUAUCUUAUAAAUAUAACUUCACUAAAUAAAAAAAAAGAAUACUCAUUCACCAAACCACAAAAUUUCAGUUGAUCAAACGUACAAAGCAGCAUAAAAGUGACAGUUAAAUCUAAGAUAACUUUAGUUGCAACCUAGGGAAAAAUCAGAAAAGUUCUAGUAAGAACAAUAGUGAUCAUUUUCGGGGAAAGCACAGUGAUUACUAUACUAUAAAAUAGCGAAAGAAAGAUUUCUAAAUAAAAUGGUAUACAGUUACAUACCUUUGUUCCACUCGUAGGAGAAUUCUUGAUUAUCUCUUGCUAUGAAAUCUAUUGCGGUGACGGCAUUUAAUGUUCAUCUCCGGCCUCAGGGUAUUUAUUAAAUGAUUAGAAGCUCAAAAUAAAUACAAUAAGAAAAUGCAUUAGUACCAUAACUGUAUAUACAUAUAGACGUCUAUGUAUUCAAGUACUUUUCAAAAGGUAUAAAGGAAAUAUUGAGAAAAAAAAUGCACUAUUAUUCCCUCGAGAUAAGCAGUAGUAGGCAUUUCGACUCUAAACUUUGACGUGCUGAUACUCCAAAUCGCCACCUUCCAUUUUGAAGUCGUCCUUCUUCUUACUCCAGCCGAACUUGUUCUUCUUACUUCCAGAUACCCAGGUCAGGCUUACUAUCCACACCGUAAACAAAAUCAUGAAACAAUAAAAAUAACACACAAAAUGUUCGUAGACAUGGCCUCUGAUGAUAUCGCACAGCGAGUAAUCGUAAACUUCAUCGUCCAACACAAGCCCGUAGUUGAAAUAACCCAAUCCGUAUUGCAAUACGGGUUUGUACCCACCUUCAUCGGUAAACGUGUUUGGGCUCAAAACAGUGCUUAAAUCAUUGGUCCCUUGAAACGCAUGUUCUCUUAACAAGGAAGCAUCAAACGGAUCUGGGAUCAUCCUUUGCCGACGUACGUUAUGGACCCUCUCACUAGCGAUUUUACUCCUUCAAAUUUGCUACAUGUUUAUCUUGUGACAAAUAUUUCUUAUUAGUUCUAUAUACAAAAACAGCGAAAAAAACUAAAAAAUGAACAGGAAUGCAAAAAUGCUCGAAGAAGCGUGUACUUUAUAAAUAAAAGAUUAUCAUUUUGGAGUAUAAAUAGGUAUAUUGAUAUAUUUAGUGCAGUUAGUUGUUGCCCCAGUAGGCAUAAUCCUCAAGGAAAAAGUCAUAUAGCACCCACGAGGGCCAUAUGGUGCACAGAUGCCAUAUAGCGUGGGCGUCAAUCUGCCAUUCGUAGCUGAAAAAAUCGAAUAACUCUAGCGACAUGGCCAUCGCGGUAACCACAACAAGGGCCACGGGGACGCAACACAACUUGAACAUCUGUCCCUUGAAACUAGCGUAUGCGGUAUUCUUGAAUUCGCCCCUUUCAUUUUGCUUUCUUAGUGCGUGGUAGUUUUGACAAGAUAACAGUAUCAAUAAGAUAUAUUGUAAGAUACCGAAAAAAAUGUUAAACCUCAUGUUGUAUGUGUACGACCAAUCAAUGUAAAGUCGAAGAAUGUGCAGGGAAAAUAUUACCGCAACGGAUCUGGUGAACACCUGUGCAAUCUUAGGGUACAAGUACAGAGAGGUGAUUCUUGCAAAUAUUGCAUGGAACCCUGCCAAAACAGUGGCACCUGCAAAGAAGUAAUCGAGUUUCUCCGUUAUGACCAAAUCACGACAAUGGAAGACCGAACUUGCAGUCCAUGCCAACAUCCCCGCCGCCGCCACAUAGAGAUAGUUCCAUAGUAAUGUGCUUCUACUGCGUACUCUUCUCCUGUCUCCAGUCUCACGUAGCAUUUUAGAAAACCUCACAAAUGCCUUGUAAUGUGGGAAAAAAUUUGCUAUACUGAAUAUGGUGGAAAAGAAUUCUUGCGUACCCAAAACUCUCAAAAACGGCCACUUACCGUGGAACUGAUAAACUUCCUCCUCCUCUUCAAUCCUCCAGCGUGUAAUAAUAUGCUGGCAUUGGUAAUCACAAUCGGAAAUACAAUCCCAGAGCAGGAAAUCCGAAUACAGAGCCGGCGUGUCGAAAAACUUGAUAUCGUGGAACAUGUUUGUUUCUGGGUCGAUAUAGUUUAUUUGCGAGUUCGGACAUAGUCUGGCAUAUUCACAAGCGUAGGUGCAGUCUAUGAACUCGUCUAGAUUGUCACCGGGGGAGCAUGCCACCAGGAAACAGCGGACAAGUAUGGCUACGACCACGGCUAACCUCAUAUUUGGUGUCACUCUUAUUCCUUCUGACUAAAGGGGAUGGUUUCAAAACUCAUUGUUGUUGCUCUUUUCCUUUCUAUUUUCCACUUAUGGCAUCAUAGUUGGGAAAAAAAGCCAAAAUUUUACGUAACCAAUGCAAAAAUUUAAUAACUCUAAAAAAAAAUAGAUGCUAUAUAAUCAGAAAAACAAACAACUACAAGUUCUUUAUAAAGUCGCGUCUUUUCAAUCUGAUCUCACCGAGAGGCAAGGUGACAUCGUUAUUCCAGCCCCAUAAUUUCGAACCGGAGUUAGGAUCAUCGGUCGUAGCGCCUUGUAACGUGGCGUUGUAUUCUUCCAGUUCCUUUGCGAUCGCCUCCACGUUUAAACGAGGGAAAGUUUCGUCGUCGUAUGGGUCAUCGAGUUUAUCAACACCGUUGUAAAGGAUCUGAUUGGGAGUGGAUGGCUUAAAAAACAAGGUUCUCCUAUUGAACACGUUACGUGUGGAUAAAUACUCGAUCUCCUGUGCGAUCAGUUCGGGCUCGAUGCCCUUGGACAACAACACUGCUGUGAUUCCAGUGACAAUUGGCGUCGACAUGGAAGUGCCCGACAAAACCACACUUUCGUUGUUGUUCAAGUGCGAUAGCGAUUCGAUUUCCACGCCAGGUGCGAAGAUGUUCACGCAGGGCCCCCAAUUGCUGAAUUUGGCAAUUGUGUCGAUGUGGUCGUCGAAUGCGCCCACAGUGAUAACGUUUUCUGCAGAUGCAGGUGAAGCCCAGUAUGCAUCCAGGUUGAAAUUCCCCGCGGCGGCAACAAACACAAUACCUUCUUCAAUGGCCCCCUCAACGGCCAUGUUUAUGAUGGGGCUUCUGAAACUGCCCAAACUUAGAUUCGCCACGCAUUUUUUGCCCUGAGGGCGACUGAUCUUCGUGCAGUGUUCCACGAUGAACUCAAGCCCGCUAAGGACGUUACUGGCCUCGCCGGACCCGUCUUUACCCAGCACUUUGACCUCCACGAGGCUGACCUUCUUUGCCGCACCAAACGUCUUGGAUCCGACAAGCCCGGCCACAUGUGUCCCAUGGCCGUUCUGAUCGCCAAAACCUUCUUUGGUCAAGUCGACGCCCUGGAUGACCCUGUCUUCGAACUCCGGAUGGUCCGCGUGUAUGCCCGUGUCCAUGAUGUAGGCGUUGACGCCCUGUCCUUGGUACUCGUCUUCGUAGUAGUAGUUGAACCAGCUCUUGUAGCGGUUUUUAUCGUCCAUGUCGAACGGCAACUGGUAAUGGCGCGAAAUCCGGGCCAGGUGCCGUGGAGCAUCCGGCUGGUACGUGACGUUUUGCGCCUCGUCGAUCUCUUCGUAGACGUACUUGGAGGUGGUGUCGAACGUGUAAUCCAAUUCAGCGUCGUCGGUGUCGAAGGCCUCAAACUUGAAGUUGGGCACGAUGUCCGCGAUCAGAGGGCUUUUCUUGAGUUUGUUGACCAGGUUCUUGGACAGAUUCAUCGUCACGCCUCGGAACGACCCGAUGGAGAACUUCUUUUCGAUCCGGUGGUCGAUGAACUUUCUCCAUGAUCUGUUUGACGUGGACGUGAAUUGCUGGAACGCGGUGGGGUUUUUGAACCGUACAAGAUAUUCCUCGGCGAGUGCGAGGUUGGCCAGCAAAGAGAUGAGUAUGCACUGAGGCUUCAUAAUUCGAUGCCUUGCUGAGAGUCUCGAGUGAGUAUGCUUAACGUUCUUAUUGACAACUAACAAUCCAAAAGUAGUAUCUUAGAAAGUAAAAAUAUUUUGUGUCGUUUCUGCUUUUUUCUAUAUGCACGACACGGAAAAAGCGUCAGAAAUAAUACUAGUGAUGAUAAUACUAAAAAAAAAAAAGGCAUGCUAGAUAGCGGGUACGUACAUUUAGUGCUAUAUACAGGGAGGGAGGCGUGUGGCACACACGCCUUAUUUCUUUCUUCUCAGACUGGCCUCUAGGUCGCCCACGUCCAGCUUGGUGCCUCUGAUGUAGUAGUGCUUGUUUCUCUGUCUGUUCGAGGUGUGAGGCCUUAGCAGGUCGAUCCGCUCGAUUAGCGGCGAGAACAGGGGCACCCUGAUCUCGACGGCGGUCUUGGCGAUCUGGUUCCGCAAUAGCAGCGAGGCGUCUUGCACCAGCUGCUUGCGGUCUAUGGACAGUAUGUACCCAACAAACGGGUCGUACGAGCACUUGGACGAGUCGUACACGACACGCACCACGUCGCCGGCCUUGAGCCGGUCCUUGUUCUUCUUGCUGAUGAGCUUGCGUCUGGACGCCCCCGGGUCCAGCGUCUCUAUCUCAGAUUGGGCCACACGUGUCAUUAUCUGAGCGGACCCUAUGAGUUCCACGGGCGGAUACACGGGGAUGGUCUUCCUUGUGGUCGUGGGCACGAUGUAUGUUCUGGUCGAGCGAACCAGAAAUCUCGCGUUCCUGCUCCACAUUGCGGUCUGUCUGUUUCGUUGCUUAUGUUUUGUCAAUCUAUUCCAAGGAAAGCUUCUUCUUCUUCUUCUUCUUCUUCUAGUUCUAGUUCUAUCUACUUAACAACGAAAAAAAAAAAAAAAUAGAGCGAUUAACGUGCGCGGGGUCACCGGGCGUCUUAAACAAGAGUGUUUGGUACGGUACAUAAGUAUGUAGAUGUAUUUGCGUUUGCGUUUGCGUUUGCGUUUGCGGGUAGUGUACAGAAGAAGAGCAGAGCGCUAGAAUCUGUGUCUUCUCUUUCUGCCGGUGAACUUGGAGUCCUUGGCGACCUUCCUCCCACGCCUCUUCAUCAGCUCCUUCUUUCUCAGGAUGAAAGUCUUGGCGGACUCCUUGUCCUUGCCGUUCUUCAAACGCUGGCGCAGCUGGCGUGUCUGCUUGAUGUUCUCCUCAUCCAUGGUCACACCGUCCAGGUUGACCUGCUCCUCGCCCAGCGGCGGGGCGCCGCUGCUCAGUACCAGGUAGUACUUCUUAUUCUUUUUGGACUCAGGGUCGUCGACCACGAGCCCGCCACUGAAACCGGCCACUUUGGCAGACUGCAGGAUGUCGUCCACCUGGAUGUCGUUCUUCGGGUAGAACUGGGCUACGAACUUACCACCCUUCUUCAGCGCCGCGUACAGCGUGUUGAAGAACCGCAUCAUCCGCUGCUUCGGGUCGUUGUACGACGUGUCUGCAUUGCACAGCCACUGAAUCGCACUGAUGCUAAUCGCCGCAUCAAAAGACCCUGCCCGGAAGGGCACACCGGUGCCCAUGUCCUGUAGCAUAAGAUCACCCUCCAACUCCCUGUCCAGCCCGGUCGCCAGCAUACUGGGUGAAAUGUCCAGCCCACACCAAACAUGGUCGCCCUCCUGUGUCAGGAUUUCCCCGGAUAGCCCGGACCCACAUCCGACGUCCAACACAAAGCUGCACGGCUGCAAGUUCAGCAACUCCAGCGCCCGCAGCGUCAUUUUCGCCUGGAUGUGCUGAACUCUAGUAGAACCCGUGUACUUAUUUGCCUCACUAUCAUUGUAAAAGAUCUCCGGCGGUGCCAAAUCUUCGGGACGCGACAUUAUAUCCUUUGCGCUGCUCUCUUUACUGAUUUCUCAUUGCUCUUUUCCCACUGCUCAUCUUCUUCUUUUUUGUUCUUUUUUCGAUGGCCUGAAGUGAAAAAAAAAAUGGGUCUUAAAAGGGUACCCGGCACUGGAAGCUCGUUUAGCGAACAAUAGCACGCCAGCAGACCCUGGAUGAUAUAAGAAGGGCAGCUGGGGCACGCAGUGGGUCUCUGGUGGUGGGCAACGGGCCAACCAAAGCGCGCAAGAAUGACGGAGGCUAAGCAGUUGUUGCAGGACGAGCGGUUUCUCAAGAUCCAGGAGCUCAAUUCCGCAGAGCCCAGCAAACGGCACUCGGUCACCUACGAUAACGUAAUCCUACCACAGGAGUCCGUGGAAGUUUCGCCACGGUCGUCCACGUCGUCGCUGGCAGAGCCAGCGACGACCACGGCCACGGGCGUGUCGGCCACGACCAAGGCCAAGGCCAAGACUAAGACCGGGCCAGCGGCUACCGCGGAGAAGGAGGAGGAGUAUCCCGUGGAUCCGCGCAUGCAGAAGUACCUCUCGCACCUGAAGAGCAAGUCGCGCACCAGGGUCCAUCACAAGGACGCCAGCAAGUAUGUGUCGUUCUUUGGGGACGUGAGCUUCGACCCGCGGCCCACGCUCCUGGACAGCGCCGUCAACGUGCCCUUCCAAACCACGUUCAAGGGCCCUGUCCUGGAGAAGCAACUCAAGGACCUGGAGUUGACCAAGAACAAGACUAAGAUCAAGAAGGCCGCAGAUGCCGCCCCCGGCAAGAAGCUGGAGUCGAACUUCUCAGGCAUCUACGUGUUCGCGUGGAUGUUCAUGGGGUGGAUCGCGUUCCGGAGCUGCAUGGACUACUACGUGUCGCACGAAGGCGGGUUCGCCAGCAUGGAGAUCGUGCAGUACAUGACGUCCGACCUGUUCACCAUCGCGCUGCUAGACCUCGGGCUGUUCCUGUCCACGUUCUUCGUGGUGUUCGUGCACUGGCUGGUCAAGCUCGGGUUCAUCAGGUGGAAGUGGACCGGGUUCGUCGCGGUCAGCAUCUUCGAGCUGUGCUUCAUCCCCGUGUCCUUCCCCGUGUACGUGUACUACUUCGAGUUCAGCUGGGUCACCAGGAUCUUCUUGUUCCUGCACUCGGUCGUGCUGCUCAUGAAAUGCCACUCGUUUGCCUUCUACAACGGGUACCUCUGGGACAUAAAGAACGAGUUGGAAUUCUCUUCGACUAAACUCAACAAAUUCAAAGAAUCGCUGUCCCCAGAGACCAAAGAGAUCUUGCAGAAAAGCUGCGAUUUCUGUCUUUUCGAGCUCAACUACCAGACCAAGGACAACGACUUCCCCAACAACAUCAGCUGCAGCAACUACUUCAUGUUCUGCAUGUUCCCCGUGCUCGUGUACCAGAUCAACUACCCGCGCACCUCGCACAUCAGAUGGAGGUACGUCAUCGAGAAGUUUUGCGCCAUCAUGGGCACCAUCUUCCUCAUGAUGGUCACUGCGCAGAUCUUCAUGCACCCGGUCGCCAUGCGCUGCAUCGAGUACCACGACACCCCCUCCUUCGGCGGCUGGGUCCCCGCGGUCAAGCAGUGGCUAUUCCUGCUCUUCGACAUGAUCCCGGGCUUCAGUGUCCUCUACAUGCUGACCUUCUACAUGAUCUGGGACGCCUUGCUGAACUGCGUUGCAGAACUGACCAGGUUCGCAGACAGGUACUUCUACGGUGACUGGUGGAACUGUGUUUCCUUCGAAGAGUUCAGCAGAAUCUGGAACGUCCCCGUGCACAAGUUCCUGCUGAGACAUGUCUAUCACAGCUCCAUGGGCGCGCUGCAUUUCAGCAAGUCCCAGGCCACCCUGUUCACCUUCUUCUUGAGCGCCGUGUUCCACGAAAUCGCCAUGUUCGCCAUCUUCAAAGAGGUCAGGGGAUACCUAUUUCUGUUCCAAUUGUCCCAGUUCGCCUGGACUGCCCUGAGCAACACCAAGUUUCUACGCUCAAGACCGCAGUUGUCCAACGUCGUCUUCACGUUCGGCGUCUGCACAGGCCCCAGCAUGAUCAUGACGCUGUACCUGACUUUGUGAACACCCACUUCGAGCCGCGCCCUCCUUUGAUAGACAUACAACUGAACGAGCACCCGCUCCACCGUGGCCCAAGAACUAUAUACAUACAUUACCCAUUAUAUAAUUGCUAUAUUAUACACCGGUAUUAUUAUUACUAUUAUUAUUACUAUUCCCCCCGCGGGUAAUACGGCCAUUUUUUUUUUUUGCCAAAAUUUUUCGAUGCCAGUACUACAAAGAACAAACUACUUUAGAACAAGAAAGGGCCUGGGGGACUAAAAAUCGAUGAGUUUAGGCAGUGCAACGACAGAAUGAACGCUAACAUAUGGGUGGCUGCCUCCGAUGGAAAUGUGGAACGUGUGGAGAGCAUUCUCCGCGAGAGCAACGGUGCCAUGACGCCGCAAUCCAAGGACGUCAACGGGUACACGCCAAUGCACGCGGCCGCUGCAUAUGGCCACGCAGACCUGCUGAAGAAGCUGUGCAGCGUGUACAACGGCGAUAUCAACGUGCUGGACAAUGAUGGCGACACUCCGCUGCACCACGUGGAGGACGUGGCCACCGCCAGGCUGAUCGUGGAAGAGCUGGGCGGAAAUCUUACAAUAAGGAACGCAGAGGGCCAGACGCCGUACGACUCGUUCGUGGAGAACGGGGAGGACGGUGAGCUCAUAGAGUAUAUGAGGAUCAAGUCCGGCGUGGCCGACGCCGCCAGCAUGGACGGCUCGCAGGGCGAGGGCAUCGUCAACAGCGAGUUACUGGCGCAGUUCAAGGACAACGUGCGGUACACUCUGGAGAACGACCCAGUGGACGGUGCCGACGAGGCCACUUUGCAACGCAGGAGGCAACUGGAGCAGAUCAUCACAGGAGACAACGCCGAGGAAGAGCUGGAAAGAUAUAUCCGCACCAUGGUCAGAGAACAGAUGCUGGGCCAGGGCUCCGCUGAGCAUGGCGAGGAAGAACCGGAUUCCAAGAGAAGAAAAUAGCAUGCCAAUGAUGCACCUCUCCUUAUGUAGUUUUUUUUCCCAAUACGUAUCUUACUUUUGUACAUUCAUCAUCCAUGUUUGCUUAGUUAAUUAGUUAAAAUUUCACCGCGUUGGAAAAUUAAAGAAAAAUUGUGUAAUUUCGAAAAAUGCUGCUAGAGAAGAAGUAAUCAACAACGUAACAUCACACGCACAGAGCAACUCACGACAAAAAAAGAGUCUUGUAAUGUUGGAACAAACGAACCCGGUCCCUGUGACGUACCCGACGGAUGCCUACAUCCCCACAUACCUGCCCGAUGAGAAGGUCUUCAACCUGGCAGAUUUGAAAAAGCUGAUAGAAAUGGAUUCCAGACUGGACCUGUAUUUGACAAGAAGAACACUGGACACGUCGAUCAAUUUGCCCACAAACAACACAACGAAGGACCAUACCCCUGACAAAAAGACGCUGAGAAUUUUCGUUUACAACACCACGCAAAACCAGCCCCACAGCGACGCUGAUGGCUCGGCAGACCCAAGCAAGGCUACGUGGACGUUGAGAAUAGAAGGUAAGCUACUACACGAAGUCUCAGACAAGGGGCACCCAUUUAGUGAGUUUUUGGAGGGGAUCGCCAUUGAUUUCAAAAAACUGAGGACGUUGAGCAAGAAAAGGAAACGUGACUCGUCGUUAAGCCUUCCCUUGAACCUUCAGCAGGCCGAGGACGACUACGCAAAUACCUCUGUGGGCGAUGAAGACGACGACGAUGACGAAUCAAAAGAGGAGAUUGUGGACGCCCUCGAGUGGAACUACGAUGAAAACAACAUUGUGGAGUUCGACGGUAUUGACGUCAAAAGACAGGGCAAGGAAGAGUUGAAGUGCAGUAUUACCAUCCAGUUGAAGGGCGUAGAUGGCAGUAAAGUGCAGUACUCGCCCGACUUGGCUACGUUGAUUGGGAUGCAAACUGGGUCAGUCAAUGACGCGGUAUAUUCAAUCUACAAGUACAUUUUGAUGAACAAUUUACUCGUCACGGAACAGACCAAGUCCCAAGAUGACGCCAACGACGUCGAAAAUAAUAACGAGAACAGCAUCAGCGACGAUGACAAUGAAGACGAAGGCGAGUACCAAGAUAGGCCCGAACUGGGUGAAGUGAAGCUAGACUCGCUUCUGCAAAGGGUAUUGGAUACCAAGGCCAUGCACGUUCCCUUGAUGAGUGUCGUGGAAAGCAUAAACAGGCUCGUUUUGCCCCUACCCCCCAUCAAACUGGACUACACGAUCGAUAUCUCCAAGGACACCACGUACGGUGCCACAACGUUGGAUGUGGACGUAUCGCACAUUCUCCAAUCUCAAUCACAGCCACACGAUGAAAAAGAAGAUAGCCACGCUGACGACACUGCCAAGCUACGUGAAAUCACCAAGCUCGCUUUACAACUGAAUUCCAGUGCCCAAAAGUACCAAUUCUUCAACGAAUUGUCGCUGCAUCCAAGAGAAACGCUGACCCACUAUCUGUGGUCUUCCAAGCAAAACGAACUGGUGCUGCAGGGCGACCAGUACUUCAACGAAGACGCCGCAAGAACCAGCGACAUCUACAACAACAACAACGACGACGACAGGGCGUUGAUGGGCAACAUUUCCGUGCUCUACUCCCAGGGAAGACUAUAAUAUAGCUUAUUCCUCUGUCCCUCUCACACCUCGUGCAAAACGACCGCCACACUAAAGAGUCAUCACUAUGAGAAAAAAUGAAAAAUGAAAAAUUUUCGACAAGUAUAUAGUCAUUUCCAUUCAAAUGUAUACAGGUUUUCGGUAACUGUCUAUUAUAUAUUUCAUCUUCUCUCUAAUUUUUUUGUAUUAUAACCACAGUAUUUGUUAAUAGACGUACGGUAAAACCCACCAAGAUGCCAACUGAUUCUCAAGUUUACAGAUCUACCAGGUCAAGCUCGCCAAAGACCUUCUCUUUUGAAGAUGCCAUCAUUCAAGGUUUGGCUACCGACGGUGGUCUUUUUAUCCCACCAACCAUCCCUCAAGUCGACCAGGCUACUCUUUUCAAUGACUGGUCAAAGCUUUCCUUCCAAGAGUUGGCUUUCGAAAUCAUGAGACUUUAUAUUGACCAAGCCGAGAUUCCAGAUGCUGAUCUACAAAGCUUGAUCAAGAGAUCUUACUCUACUUUCCGUUCCGAAAAAGUUACACCUCUAGUUCAGAAUGUCACCGGUGACAAGGAAAACUUGCACGUCCUGGAGCUAUUCCACGGUCCAACCUACGCUUUUAAGGAUGUUGCCUUGCAAUUUGUCGGUAACCUUUUCGAAUAUUUCCUACAAAGAACCAACGCCAACUUGCCAGAAGACAAGAAGAAGCAAAUCACUGUUGUCGGUGCCACUUCUGGUGACACUGGUUCCGCAGCCAUCUACGGGUUGAGGGGCAAAAAGGACGUUUCCGUUUUCAUCUUGUAUCCAACCGGUAGAAUCUCUCCAAUCCAAGAAGAACAAAUGACUACUGUCCCAGACGAAAACGUCCAGACUUUGUCUGUCACUGGUACUUUUGACAACUGUCAAGACAUUGUUAAGGCUAUCUUUGGUGACAAAGAAUUCAACUCCAAACACAACGUCGGUGCCGUGAACUCCAUCAACUGGGCAAGAAUCUUGGCUCAAAUGACCUACUACUUCUAUUCUUUUUUCCAAGCCACCAACGGUAAGGAUUCCAAGAAGGUUAAAUUCGUGGUCCCAAGUGGUAACUUUGGUGACAUAUUGGCAGGUUACUUUGCUAAGAAGAUGGGUUUGCCAAUUGAAAAAUUAGCCAUUGCUACCAACGAAAACGACAUCUUGGACAGAUUUUUGAAAUCUGGGUUAUACGAAAGAUCCGACAAAGUCGCAGCUACUUUAUCUCCAGCCAUGGAUAUCCUAAUCUCAUCGAACUUCGAAAGACUAUUGUGGUAUUUAGCUCGCGAGUACUUGGCUAAUAACGAUGACUUAAAAGCAGGUGAAACUGUUAACAACUGGUUCCAAGAAUUGAAAACCAACGGUAAGUUCCAAGUCGACAAAUCCGUCAUCGAAGGUGCAGCAAAGGAUUUUACAUCUGAAAGAGUUUCUAACGAAGAAACUUCUGAGACAAUCAAGGACAUUUACCAAUCGUCUGUAAAUCCAAAACAUUACAUCUUGGAUCCUCAUACAGCCGUCGGUGUUUGCGCCACAAAAAGAUUGAUCGCAAAAGACAACGACAAAUCCAUUCAAUAUAUCUCUUUAUCAACCGCUCAUCCAGCCAAAUUCGCUGAUGCUGUCAACAAUGCAUUAUCUGGAUUUUCUAACUAUUCAUUCGAAAAGGAUGUUUUACCUGAAGAUUUGAGGAAAUUAUCCACACUAAAGAAGAAAUUGAAAUUCGUUGAAAAAGCCGAUGUAGAAUUAGUCAAGAGCGCUAUUGAAGAAGAACUUGCUAAAAUGAACCUAUGAAAAUCUUCUUUGUCAUGAAUAUGUUUUAUAUAAUAUAGAAAUCUAUAAUCAAUAAAAAAUAUUAAGUACGAUAAUCAUUAAUGUAAGCCAAAAGAAAAAACGAUAGAAUUAAAGAGAUCAUAAUCAAUCUUCGUCUACGCUAACAAGCUCGGAAAUUUCGCUAUCAGAAUCUUCCUUUUUAGAUACAAGUCUUACUUUUCCGCCCUUUUCCACUGAAAUUUCAAACCCUGCUUUGCUUAAUGCAUCAUCCUGAACAACGUCUUGCGCCUCCAUUUGUUUGACAAAUUCUUGGUUCUUGGCAUUAUUCCUUAACAAAAACUUUAAGCAAAUGAUAGACCUUUCCUUAAUGAAUGGAUCAUUAUCGUCAAUGACACAGUUGGAAAGAAUUAACGCGAGUCCACCCAAUUCUCUUAUUUGAUCUUGAAUUUCAGGAUGUGCAUAUACUAACGACGCUAGUAUUUCAACUAUAACUAACUUACAGUUGGGGAAAUUAUCCGCUCUGAUGAAGAACGAAUUGGCAUUAACACGAUUGUAGAUCAAUAAUCGAUCCUCGAUUUUAUUACCUUGGCAAUCUGUGAUUUUCAUAUCAUCCACCGUUUCACUAUUUCCCUUAAAGAAAUUAAUUCUCAGCAGGUUCUUUUGGAAUGUAUCCAGUAACGAAAUUAAUGUUUUCACACACUCGUAAGAUAUCAAAAACUGUCUAACAUGAUCGAAUUUACACAAAUCGGAAAUGAUGUCCAAACAGGAUAAUAAUGUGGAAUGUAAUUGGAUAGCAACUGAUGGAGUAUAAUCGUUGACGCCUUUCUUGAAAAAAGCAGGAAUAUCAUUAUCUGUAAGGCGUUGCAAAAUGGGAUAGCACCAUGACAUAAUGGCUGUCAAUUCAUAUUUAUUCCAAUCUUCUUUACUCGUUACAAUCAAUUGCAUUAUUUGCAACAGUUUGGCAAAACAUUUCGGUUCUCUAUCUUCAAACCCCUGUAGGUAUUUACCAAAAGAUGCACUUGUUAGACUUUUACUGAUGCAGUCCAAAACGGAUAGAUCAAUAGAUGUUAUUUUAAAUUUUGAAUCGUCUAGAUAGUCCCUACCGUUUUCAAUUACAAACGAAUCUUCUUGAUCUUGGAUAAAUUUAGUGAUGAUGAUAUGGAAAAAGAUCCUAUCUCUUAGGCGAUAGUAGUCGCCUUGAUUCGUAUCACUAUCUCUAAACAGCUCAUUGGAAAAUUCAUCAUUAUUGAGAUAUGUUUUGAAAAGAAAGAGAUAUGGCAACCAAAAAUGUUCCUCUUCUUUAUCCUCUUCAAAAGUCAUCCCAUAGGGAUAUUGAAAAAAUUGCAAAAGCGCUGGGAACGUAGUCAUAUCUACUGUGGAGUAGUUUUGUUGCAUGUUGUAAAGACACGUUAAGCAUGCGAUAUAUAAGUGCUUCACUAAUGGAGUAUCCACUACAUACUCACUAGUUGCGUGUAGAAACCCACGUAUUACGAGAUUUUGCAGUAGCAGCUUUUGGGGUAUUUCUUGGUUUUCCGCAGCAAGGUUUCUCAUCAAUAACACAAGGCCUCUCAUUGUUCUCGUGUAUGGUAUUGAGCUAUCUUCAUUCAAAGGUACCCGUAACAGCAUUCCUUCCAAUGUGUCUCUUAAACGUUCCCAAAAAGGCUGGGAAUCGGCCAUCAAUUUCCUAUGGUCUUCUUCAUUAAACGUUCUUUGAAAGAUUCCAUUCAGAUUCUCGACAAUGGGCCCAUAGUUCUCAACGCAACGUGGGUCAUUCUUCAUUGUUACAUCGAUUAAAUCAAAUAGUUUGAAUUCAUCUGAAAAAAUUUCCGUAUGCGUCAUUAUACUACUGUUUCCUGUUUUGAAUACAACAAUAUUAUGACGUGAUGUUGUCUAUUAUGCUGGACCAAAGACAAAAGAAUAGUUGGUAAGUUUGUGUCAAUGUUUUCCCUCAUCCCAUCAAUUUUCCACUUUUUCCUUUUCCAUUUUUUCGCAAGAGCGAUGAGCACCUUACAUAACAAAACAAAAAUUUCCAUGCCAAGCAAAGGACUCUUGAUACCAGCCCAAAUACUAGGUUGUUAGUAUGGCGGUGGAUGUCACGGUUUGAAAAGGCAAACAAGGUAGAGUCGAUGUGGAUAAAUUUUUCGAUGAUAUUUUUAUUAUUUAAAAUACAAAUGUAAUGCUUUAUAUAGUUCUAUAUUGGGGGAUAUGUUAAAAGUAUAUGUUUAAGUGUGCAUGAAUAAAAGAUGGUUUAUUUGUUUAAAGAAGCUCUUUCUUGUCUUCCUCUUCUUCAUCACUGGAGUCGUUUUCAUUGGACAAAGGAAAUUUGGUAUCCUUCCCAUUGAAACCAAUCCAGCCUUCUUCGUCGUCAGAUUCCAUGGCCACAUCGUCUUCCUCUUUAUCUUCCUCUAGGUCAUCUUCCAGAAGAACUUCGUCAUCAUCACCACCGUCGUCUUCAACAGAUCCAUCAGUCGAUGUCAAGAAUCUGUAGGAGUACUUAU
rnacentral:misc_RNA from 1 species